rnacentral:rRNA from 1 species
CUUAAGCAUAUCAAUAAGCGGAGGAAAAGAAACUAACAAGGAUUCCCCUAGUAACUGCGAGUGAAGCGGGAAAAGCUCAAAUUUAAAAUCUGGUGGUCUUCGGCCAUCCGAGUUGUAAUCUAGAGAAGCGUUACCCGCGUCGGACCGUGUACAAGUCUCCUGGAAUGGAGCAUCAUAGAGGGUGAGAAUCCCGUCUUUGACACGGACUACCGAGGCUUUGUGGUACGCUCUCAAAGAGUCGAGUUGUUUGGGAAUGCAGCUCAAAAUGGGUGGUAAAUUCCAUCUAAAGCUAAAUAUUGGCGAGAGACCGAUAGCGAACAAGUACCGUGAGGGAAAGAUGAAAAGAACUUUGGAAAGAGAGUUAAACAGUACGUGAAAUUGCUGAAAGGGAAACGCUUGAAGUCAGUCGCGUUGUCCGGAAAUCAGCCUUGCUUUUGCUGGGUGUAUUUUCUGGUUAACGGGCCAGCAUCAGUUUUGACCGGUGGAAAAAGUCUAGAGGAAUGUGGCAUCUUCGGAUGUGUUAUAGCCUUUGGUCGUAUACAUCGGUUGGGACUGAGGAACUCAGCACGCCGCAAGGCCGGGUCUUUGACCACGUACGUGCUUAGGAUGCUGGCAUAAUGGCUUUAAUCGACCCGUCUUGAAACACGGACCAAGGAGUCUAACAUGCCUGCGAGUGUUUGGGUGAAAAACCCGGACGCGUAAUGAAAGUGAAAGUCGAGAUCCUUGUCAUGGGGAGCAUCGACGCCCGGACCAGAAGUUUUCUGACGGCCCUGCGGUAGAGCAUGUAUGUUGGGACCCGAAAGAUGGUGAACUAUGCCUGAAUAGGGUGAAGCCAGAGGAAACUCUGGUGGAGGCUCGUAGCGAUUCUGACGUGCAAAUCGAUCGUCAAA